AGUGUUAACAUUUGUUGAAAUCUUGUCCUUUUCUCUGAUUGUCUCUCUUCUGCAGGUUAAGGUGCCAGCUGCCUGGACUUACCAGUUUCCACUCCUUUGGUUAGAUGUCAACCACUUCUGAUCCUUCACUUCUGAAAAAUUUAUCUCAGGUCACAGAAGAUAAGAAGGACUCACAACCGAACACAAUCUCUCCGCUUGCCCUAAGCCAGGGCAAUCCCCCAGGCAUUAUAUUUCUUGAACUUGAGAUAUGAUUCUGAUCAACCCACCAAGCUGUCUAAGCCUGCUAUACAGU
rnacentral:lncRNA from 1 species